rfam:Ixodes scapularis strain Wikel colony gcontig_1108378795668, whole genome shotgun sequence.
CAACCGGCCCUAAGUUUCAGGGCCACACUCUUAAACAAAAUGAUGUCGU